rnacentral:lncRNA from 1 species
UCAUAGUAAAUAAAAGAGAAGCUAAUAUUCAAAUUACAUGUUGAAAUCCACCAUAAUCCUAGAAAGAUAAUUUAGCUCAUAAUAUCUAAUAAAAACAAUAUCCAAAGAAAUUUAACCAUGAAUCCAAGUCAAAGAAAAUAAGAGAAACACAAAAAUAGAAAACGGGACUAAGUGUUGAAGCUUUGCAAUAUCAAUUCUCUCUCAAAUUCUCUUGGUUUCUUGUUUUGUUCUUGGUUCCUUUUCUCCAAAGUAGUUGAUGGCUGCCUCCCCCUUAAAACUUUUGAAAAAGGUCCCUUAAAUGGUCUUCAAGUAACCUAAUUUCCAAAAUCCCUUGUUCUCCAACGCUG